rnacentral:lncRNA from 1 species
AACAGAGCUCCUCUUCUGCUUCGAACAGUUAAAAAUUGAUUCCAAAUUUCUUUCUGAUUGUUUCUUUCUAGAGGAUUUUCUCGGAAGAGGAGCACUCAGAUUGGUCUGCGAAAGAUUACCCUGUUUACCGACUCGGGACCUCCUUCGAGGUGAAGACUCGCUAGUCCCAGAUGCAGAAGCAACUUCACCACCUAUUCUGCCAUUGCCAUCUACUAUCCUGAUCGACUCCACUGCGUUUUCAGGAUUACGAGCUCCAAUGACUCCAUUACCAAACUUCAACGGAAAACUCCUCACCAAAGAAGGGUCGGUAAUAGGGGCGUUGGCUUCUACACCAGAGGUAUUUUCCUCUAUAGGUGAUGUCCGACUGAAACUUUGACCUCUCGGAUCAGCAGCCACAUCAUCAUUCAUACCAGCCACAUCACUUUCACUUGAUGAACUCCCCACAUGGUUCUUUAGCAGUGUUUCAUUCUUGUCAGAAAGAUCAGUAUGCAGCUCAUCCUCAUGUACCAACCUCGAAUCUGGAUCGAUCGUCUCUUUGUCUACGAUGUAAUCAAGAUCACAUGAACGCAGGCCACCAUCACUAUUACUUAACAGUUCCGUGAUAGCCAACGAAGGAGAUACCACGAGAGGGAUAUUGCCAUCAAUAUCACUUGAAGACUUCACAUCAUUCUCUGUCUCACUGCAACCCAAACCCCCAGAAUCCAAUGCUGAAUCUGGAAAGGGACAACUCCGAAUGAGAGAAACAUCAUCACUCGAUGGUUCGUUAUUUCCUUCCUUGCCUUCACCAUCACUUCCAGCUUUAUCAUCCUCUAUAUCUUUUGCAGUUUCCAAAGACUCAACCUUUUCAGGUGCAUCGUUUAGAAAAACCGAUUCACCAUCUGUUUCCCUGACCCCUAAGGGCAAUACUGUGCCAUCUAGACUCCACUCUUCCUACUUCAUGAUCUUUACUAUCAUCACUUCCAGCACUCCUAUUUAUAAAGCUGUGUUUCUCUAACCCCUCGUGAGAUUCAUUUUUUCUCCCGCCUUUGGCAGACUUGGACUUGGAGUUCCCUUUUCUUGUUCCAUUACCUUUUGACUUAUUAGGAUGUUUACCUUUUUUGGCGUUGGGAAUUAGAUGUGAACCAUUUUCCAAAGGAGAUACUGAAGCAAGCAAUUCAUCUUGUUUUUCUAAUCCUCUGUUCGUGUUGACCAGGUCUUCUGCAGUGCUGGAAAAACCAUGAGGCAAAUCCUUUUGCACAGAGUUGAUAACUUCUGAAUCUGGUGAAGUUUCAGAGUCUAGGGGCCGGGUUCCAUUAGCCCUCUCGCCCUCUUCAACCACAAUACUAGAGGAAAGGUGUGUACCCUCAUCUAAAACAUCACCACCUAGCUUCCUACAUAACCCCCCAGCGUCUUGGUUCUUUUUCUCAUCCGUAAUAGAAACAGAUAACAGCCGACAUGAAAGUUUCUCCAAGGAAUUGUUUUUCUCUUUUAACUGCUCUCUAGUUUCCACAAUCUGGAGUUUAUCCUCGACAAUAUCUGCAGGCCCUGGAAACUCUAAACCUUUUCCGGCCUUAACAAUACCACCAGCAGGCAAAGAGUUGCCACUGACCUUAGAGACUGUAAUGUUCAAAGGAUUUUGGCCACCUGACUUACCAAAUUUAACUUUCAAACGAAGGCAAGAGCCACUUGAUGCUUGGGUAUUAUGCUCUCCAUUUUUAGGACUGUUCUGAGGUUGCUUUGUUUCGUGAUGCGGAGGUCUACCAUAAGGAAUAUUAUUGCUCUGUAAGAAGAUUUCAGCGGUCCUACAUGGCAAUCCCCACUGAGAUGAACGGUCUGGUUUUGAAACAGAGCUCCUCUUCUGCUUCGAACAGUUAAAAAUUGAUUCCAAAUUUCUUUCUGAUUGUUUCUUUCUAGAGGAUUUUCUCGGAAGAGGAGCACUCAGAUUGGUCUGCGAAAGAUUACCCUGUUUACCGACUCGGGACCUCCUUCGAGGUGAAGACUCGCUAGUCCCAGAUGCAGAAGCAACUUCACCACCUAUUCUGCCAUUGCCAUCUACUAUCCUGAUCGACUCCACUGCGUUUUCAGGAUUACGAGCUCCAAUGACUCCAUUACCA